GUGCUCAUUUUGGCAGCACAUAUACUGAAAUUGGAAUGAUACAGAGGAGAUGAGCACAGCUCCUAUGCAAGGAUGACAUGCACAUUCAUGAAGCAUUCCAUACAUUU